AUUGAACGCUGGCGGCAGGCCUAACACAUGCAAGUCGAGCGAGCGGCGGACGGGUGAGUAAUGUAUGGGGACUGCCCGAUCGAGGGGGAUAACUACUGGAAACGGUGGCUCAUACCGCAUACUAUCUGCUCACACAUAUGGGAUUAGCUAGUAGGUGGGGUAAAGGCUCACCUAGGCGACGAUCUCUAGCUGCUCGGAGAGGCUGCUCAUCCACACGGAGACGGAGACACGGCCCAGACUCCGACGGAGGAAGCAGUGGUGAAUAUUGCACAAUGGGGGCAAGCCUGAUGCAGCCAGGCCGCGUGUAUGAAGAAGGCCUUAGGGUUGUAAAGUACUUUCAGCGGGGAGGCGUUACCCUCAGAAGAAGCACCGGCUAACUCCGUGCCAGCAGCCGCGGUAAUAC
rnacentral:rRNA from 1 species